rnacentral:misc_RNA from 1 species
GCAAACUUGGUCAUUUAGAGGAAGUAAAAGUCGUAACAAGGUCUCCGUUGGUGAACCAGCGGAGGGAUCAUUAGCGAGUUAUCUAACUCCCAACCCUUUGUGAACUUACUAUUGUUGCCUCGGCGGGACCUACUCGGUACCUACCCUGUAGCCCCGCCGGCGGACUAUAAAUUCUUAUUUAAUGGAAAUCUGAAUGUCUUAUUUUAAUAAGUAAAAACUUUCAACAACGGAUCUCUUGGUUCUGGCAUCGAUGAAGAACGCAGC